rfam:Salmo salar isolate Sally breed double haploid chromosome ssa13, whole genome shotgun sequence.
UGUAUUCACUACUGUAAGUUGCUCUGGAUAAGAGUCUCUGCUAAAUGAUGUAAA